GUUUGAUGAGUUUACUUUUUUCUUUUAGGAAACAUAAAAACAGUGGCUCACAGCCAUUGUGGUCAAUGGGUCAGAGAGUUUUCACUAAGGGGAAUGUGAGUGCCUACUUCAUAAUGUUGCUGUGAGGAUUAAAGGAGUCAAUACAUGGAAAGUGCUCAGAAAAGUGCCUGGCACAGGGGCUUGCCAGACCACAGGAGACCAAGUAUAUGAAAGAGCUUUGGAAAACACAAAGUGCUGUUCAGCUCCUUAAGGCAGCACUAUGGCAGAAACAGUUACUCCAUAUUAGGGAUUUGGGAUUUUGGUUACCCUGGAGGGUCACUUAAGACGUUUUGAACUCCCCAUUGCUAUUGAGUGAAGAGUGCCACACAUUACAACGGGGCCAAUGUGGGCUUCCUUUAUAAACAGUGAGGAUUCCAAAGCAAUCCCGAAGGGAGGAGGGUAAGCUGCCCUGAAGCAUGGGCUCCAGGCGCCAGGAGAAACGGAGCUGUCUCCCUGCUUUUGGAUGCCAAGACAUCAACACUUAAAGCAGCCACAGGGCAAGUUUGAUUCUGAACCAGCAAAGCAGAGAAAGAACUCAAUUGAGAUGCCCUGCCCUGUAGGCUAGCUUCCUGCUGACGUGAAUGAGAACUUCACACUGGUGACUCAGACACUACCUGUGUGGUUGUCGGUGCACACACAUGGGUGAUUGUGCUGAAGCUACCUGGACUGGAGACAAGAAUGUGUGUCUUGCUAACCCGUGGAUGAUAAUUAAAUUCAUGGAAGCAGCAGCAAUGACCCAGGAGCACGUAUAGCUGGAGAAGAAGGUCAGAGGUAGGGUGUGACCAGGAAAUAGAUUAACAAAAUGGGGAGGAGGGAAAGAGGAUGGUGUCACUUCAUAAACCAUGGUGUGGUAGAGGGGAGGCACACCGGACCUUUUUGGGGAGUCUACUACUCUAAAGGCUCUUCCUCUGGGCUAGCCCAUAAGAGAAAUAUAUUUGUUAUUUCCUAGCAUUUUUCCAUGGUUAUUGGUCUAUGUGGACUCUUGUAGGGUAAGUUUUAGUUAUUUAUAUUUGCCUAUUUCCAAAAUAGUGGAAUCACACUACAUAUUGAGGUGUGUGGGAUCUGCUACUAUCAUCAUUGUCUCCAACAUAUACUUUUAUCUUUUCUGAUUGUAAGAAUAAUUAAGUUACAAAUAAUUAUUUAAAUAAGCAAACAAAAAAAUAAAGAGACAUUCACGUGGCAGAAUCCAGCAUAACAGAUAAAAGAAAAUAUAUACUCCUAUGGGAAGUUCUCAAGAUAUAUUGUUCAGCUAAAAAAACAAAACAAAACAAAACAAAAGCAAAGUAAAAAACAUAUUGUCUUUUGUAUAAAGGGAGGAAUAGAUAAUGUAUAUUUAACUCAUCUUAUUUAUGCAUGAAUUAAUUUUGAAAGCUUACACAGGAAACUAAUAACAGUUUUCUGGGUGUGAAAUUGGGUGCAUGGAAAAGCAGGGAUAGGAGAGAGACUUUUCUGUAUAUCUUUUUCAUUUUUUGUGCUGUAUGAAUAUAUUCCUUGAAAAAUUAAAAUGGAAAUUGUGCAUUGUGGAAAAAUUAGGAAAUUGAUUAAAG
rnacentral:lncRNA from 1 species